rnacentral:rRNA from 1 species
CCUACGGGUGGCAGCAGUGAGGAAUAUUGGUCAAUGGCCGAAAGGCUGAACCAGCCAAGUCGCGUGAGGGAAGAAUGACCUAUGGUUUGUAAACCUCUUUUAUCGGGGAGUAAAGUUAUCCACGUGUGGAUGUUUGCGUGUACCCUAUGAAUAAGCAUCGGCUAACUCCGUGCCAGCAGCCGCGGUAAUACGGAGGAUGCGAGCGUUAUCCGGAUUUAUUGGGUUUAAAGGGUGCGUAGGUGGGUUUUUAAGUCAGCGGUGAAAGUUGGUGGCUCAACCAUAACCUAGCCGUUGAAACUGGUGAACUUGAGUGUGCGUGAGGUAGGCGGAAUGCGUGGUGUAGCGGUGAAAUGCAUAGAUAUCACGCAGAACUCCGAUUGCGAAGGCAGCUUACU